UACGGAGGGAGCUAGCGUUGUUCGGAAUUACUGGGCGUAAAGCGCGCGUAGGCGGCUUUGUAAGUUAGAGGUGAAAGCCCGGGGCUCAACCCCGGAACUGCCUUUAAAACUGCAUCGCUUGAAUCCGGGAGAGGUGAGUGGAAUUCCGAGUGUAGAGGUGAAAUUCGUAGAUAUUCGGAAGAACACCAGUGGCGAAGGCGGGUCUCUGGGCCGAUACUGACGCUGAGGAGCGAAAGCGUGGGGAGCGAACAGG
rnacentral:rRNA from 1 species